rnacentral:rRNA from 1 species
AUUGAACGCUGGCGGCAGGCCUAACACAUGCAAGUCGAACGAGUGGCGGACGGGUGAGUAAUGUCUGGGAAACUGCCCGAUGGAGGGGGAUAACUGCUAGAAACGGUAGCUAAUACCGCCUACCAUCGGAUGUGCCCAGAUGGGAUUAUCUAGUAGGGUGGGUAACGGCUAACCUAGGCGACGAUCCCUAGCUGGUCGGAGAGGAUGACCAGCCACACGGGAACUGAGAUACGGUCCAGACGCAUAGGGGAGGCAGCAGUGGGGAAUAUUGCACAAGGGGCGCAAGCCUGAUGCAGCCAUGCCGCGUGUAUGAAGAAGGCCUUCGGGUUGUAAAGUACUUUCAGCGAGGAGGCGUUACUCGCAGAAGAAGCACCGGCUAACUCCGUGCCAGCAGCCGCGGUAAUUC